rnacentral:rRNA from 1 species
CAGUCGCCGCGGUAAUACGUAGGUGGCAAGCGUUGUCCGGAAUUAUUGGGCGUAAAGGGCUCGCAGGCGGUUUCUUAAGUCUGAUGUGAAAGCCCCCGGCUCAACCGGGGAGGGUCAUUGGAAACUGGGAAACUUGAGUGCAGAAGAGGAGAGUGGAAUUCCACGUGUAGCGGUGAAAUGCGUAGAGAUGUGGAGGAACACCAGUGGCGAAGGCGACUUUCUGGUCUGUAACUGACGCUGAUGUGCGAAAGCGUGGGGAUCAAACAGGAUUAGAUACCCCUGUAGUCCCUGUCUCUUAUAA